rnacentral:rRNA from 1 species
GAGUUUGAUCAUGGCUCAGGAUGAACGCUAGCGGCAGGCCUAAUACAUGCAAGUCGAACGCUCAGUAGCAAUACUGGGAGUGGCGCACGGGUGCGUAACGCGUACACAAUCUACCUCUAAGCGGGGGACACCUCCUGGAAACGGGGAUUAAUACCGCAUAAUAUGCCGAGGUCGCAUGACUUUGGUAUUAAAGCAGCAAUGCACUUAGAGAUGAGUGUGCGUCCCAUUAGGUAGUUGGUGAGGUAACGGCUCACCAAGCCUAUGAUGGGUAGCCGGUCUGAGAGGAUGGUCGGCCACACGGGCACUGAGACACGGGCCCGACUCCUACGGGAGGCAGCAGUAAGGAAUAUUGGUCAAUGGUGGAAACACUGAACCAGCCAUGCCGCGUGGAGGAAUAAGGUCCUACGGAUUGUAAACUCCUUUUGACGAGGAAGAAAGUGUUAGAUUUAUCUAAUUUUGACGGUACUCGUAGAAUAAGCACCGGCUAACUCCGUG